UACGUAGGUCCCGAGCGUUGUCCGGAUUUAUUGGGCGUAAAGCGAGCGCAGGUGGUUUAUUAAGUCUGGUGUAAAAGGCAGUGGCUUAACCAUUGUAUGCAUUGGAAACUGGUAGACUUGAGUGCAGGAGAGGAGAGUGGAAUCCCAUGUGUAGCGGUGAAAUGCGUAGAUAUAUGGAAGAACACCGGUGGCGAAAGCGGCUCUCUGGCUUGUAACUGACACUGAGGCUCGAAAGCGUGGGGAGCAAACAGG
rnacentral:rRNA from 1 species